ensembl:lncRNA
AAGAAAACGAGGAGACAGACAAAGGACACAGACACCCCAACCUCCUCAUGACUCUCUAACGGAGGCCUGUGUUGCAUCGCACCGUCGGAGGAGUCCCCAGAUGAAAUUUAGGAGGAUUUUGCCCAGCCGAAGGCACCAGGAGAUGUGUCCUCCCUCUCAGGUGACUGCAGCCUCAUUCAUCGCCUUCUUUUCUCCCAGCUUUUUAAUUAGGCCACACAACUCAGGACAACAACAUGCCUCUUCAAGCUCCUCCGUGUCUGACUUUGAUGAUAUAUAUGUUCUCAUGUUUUCAUCGUUUUCACACCAUAUACAUGAAAAGAUGUGUAUGUUCUGUUCUUAUCUUGGGCUGUCAUGCUGUGUGAUGAUUUUCGUGUUAUUAGUUGCGUUUAUUUGUACAUGUGUGCGCUUUUAUUCUUGUAAAGGCAGAACAGCUGUAUCGUCAAGGUAUUAAAGAUA